UGAGGAAUAUUGGUCAAUGGACGAGAGUCUGAACCAGCCAAGUAGCGUGCAGGAUGACGGCCCUAUGGGUUGUAAACUGCUUUUAUGUGGGAAUAAAUAAGAUUACGUGUAAUCUGUUGCAUGUACCACAUGAAUAAGGACCGGCUAAUUCCGUGCCAGCAGCCGCGGUAAUACGGAAGGUCCGGGCGUUAUCCGGAUUUAUUGGGUUUAAAGGGAGCGUAGGCGGUCUGUUAAGCGUGUUGUGAAAUGUAACGGCUCAACCGUUGACUUGCAGCGCGAACUGGCAGUCUUGAGUGCGCAGGAAGUAGGCGGAAUUCGUGGUGUAGCGGUGAAAUGCUUAGAUAUCACGAAGAACUCCGAUUGCGAAGGCAGCUUACUGUAGCGUAACUGACGCUGAAGCUCGAAAGUGCGGGUAUCGAACAGGA
rnacentral:rRNA from 1 species